rnacentral:lncRNA from 1 species
ACAACUUUGUUCGAGGUGUUCCCGAUCUCUAAAAAUCACGAAAUUAAAUCUGGAAUGUCCUUAAAUAUUGAAUUUUUGAUCUGGAAAUUUUGGGCACCAAAUUCAACCCGCUGAAUCUUUUUUUUAAUUUUUUAUUGAAUUUCGUCUUUUUUGAUUUUUUGACUUUUUUGACUGAUUUUUUUGCGGGAAUAAAUUUUUUAUAUUCAAUCACAGUGCCACAAAUAUGUAUGUAAAAUUUCAGAUCAAUCGGACAACGUUUACCCACCCAAAUGAAUUUUUUUUGAACAAUUUUUCUG